UUUUUCUUUAAAAAAUUUAUGGUUUGUUCCUAAAAGAACGAAAAAUCUGUUUUCAGUUUUGUGUGCUCAAGACAGGUAUCCAAAUAGUUGGUUUAAGUCGUCAGUCGUCAUCUGGUAUUACUUUUCGACUCACUAUAGUACAUAGCAAUAGGGACGUGUUGAAAAAGAGAGCCAAAAUAUAGGCGUAAUGGCAAGAACAUUUCAGUAUUCUAACCCAGAAGCUAAAUUUUCGUCAGCACAGAAAGACGCCAAAAGUUAAACAUCUUUGAAUAGUGGGAUCGACGUGCUAUGUGCACAUUCAUGGCCAGAGAAGAAAGAAGAACGACAAAAAAGCUGUAAAGGGACACUUGCUGGGUUACAAUGGCGGUGUAGGUUACAAACACAUCACAGAAUACCAAGAAGAAGAAGACGAGAUCACAGUGAGGAAAAAAAAUUACGUGAGCGGUGAAGAGGCAAUCCUUGGUGAAAAAACAACGAGAGAAGAAUACAAUCCAUGAAGUUAAGGGCUCAUUCAAAUUUAACAAGACCACAUCAUCUGGAUAUAUAACAGCAGCAAAAGUAAAAUACCUUGUUCGCAGAUUAAAGAAGAAUCUAUACGGGCUUAAGCAAGGGCCGAGAUGUUGCCAAGAACGUUUUGGGGGCUAUCUGAGGAAACGUCAUUUUACAGCCAGCAAGGCAGAUGCUUUUCAAAAAUUAUAUGUAGUUAAAAAAAAUGAUGGUCAACUAAAUUACACGGC